GAUGAACGCUGGCGGCGUGCUUAACACAUGCAAGUCGAACGGAAAGGCCCAAGCUUGCUUGGGUACUCGAGUGGCGAACGGGUGAGUAACACGUGGGUGAUCUGCCCUGCACUUCGGGAUAAGCCUGGGAAACUGGGUCUAAUACCGGAUAGGACCACUUCUUGGAUGUUGUGGUGGAAAGUUUUUUCGGUGUGGGAUGAGCUCGCGGCCUAUCAGCUUGUUGGUGGGGUAAUGGCCUACCAAGGCGUCGACGGGUAGCCGGCCUGAGAGGGUGUACGGCCACAUUGGGACUGAGAUACGGCCCAGACUCCUACGGGAGGCAGCAGUGGGGAAUAUUGCACAAUGGGCGCAAGCCUGAUGCAGCGACGCCGCGUGGGGGAUGACGGCCUUCGGGUUGUAAACUCCUUUCGCUAGGGACGAAGCGUUUUGUGACGGUACCUUGAGAAGAAGCACCGGCUAACUACGUG
rnacentral:rRNA from 1 species